AGCAGUACGAGAGAUCACAUCUGCAGUCAUACUCUCAAGCCAAGGCCAAACGUCCACCUCACCGGACGAACCUUUAUCAGAUACUACUAACUUGUCCCAUUCGCCAAUAACCUCACUGCAGCUCUGGUGGAAAGCAGGGUGCUAUGAAAUAGAAGUCAAAACCUUGAUCUUCUCCAGAUGGAAAGCUGGAUUGAUGAUUCUUCGGUGUUUUGCCCAUUUAUCACCAUCAUAACUAACGAGUCCAGUGGCUAUCAAUCUGCCUAAAGGGAAUGUGUGCGUCUUGGUGAAAUCAUUAACUUUGUUGAACACUUCCUUGAUUUGCUCAGGAUCCAUUAUAGUGAUGGUUGGUAUAGGUCCAAUCCAUGUAAAAAAUGUCCUUCCUGUUCCAACAACAAAGAGAUAUAAAAAUGAAAACCUUUCAAAAUCA